rnacentral:rRNA from 1 species
CGAACGGGUGAGUAACAUAUCGGAACGUACCGGGUAGCGGGGGAUAACUGAUCGAAAGAUCAGCUAAUACCGCAUACGUCUUGAGAGGGAAAGCAGGGGACCUUCGGGCCUUGCGCUAUCCGAGCGGCCGAUAUCUGAUUAGCUGGUUGGCGGGGUAAAGGCCCACCAAGGCGACGAUCAGUAGCGGGUCUGAGAGGAUGAUCCGCCACACUGGGACUGAGACACGGCCCAGACUCCUACGGGAGGCAGCAGCU